GGAGCCAAGGAUUUGUUUCUAGAGAUUUGGGUCAGGAUAAGAAGCCCUAGGAAGAAACAAUCCAAAAGGCCUUAGGGAAUGUUGCUGAUGCCAGUCUUUUUCACAGCAGUUUGAUUAAUUAUCAUCCAUCCAUCCAUCCAUCCAAUGUUAAACAGUUUAGGGAGGAUAUACUGUGACUUAAAUCCAUCAGAAAUGACCCCUAAGGAAGAAAGAGCUUGUUUGCACAGCACCUAUCAGAGUGAGGGCCUAGGUCAUGACUAGGUCUCCUAGGCGCUGCCAUAAUACAAAUAGAUAGAUUAGAUUAGAUUAGAUUAGAUUAGAUUAGAUGCUUGUGGAAACCUUUCUACCUCUGUUGCUAGAGUCAAAAUAAUAUUUUGCCUUCUCCAAAAAAUAAGACAUAAACCAGACGUGAGCCCCAGAGCUGCUGAGCCCUGCUCCCUGCCAUCACAAGCAACCCCGUCAUACAGUUUCAUGCAUACAUUUGUCCAGCACUCUCUUAAAAUUAAUUGUCCCCACUCCCCAACUCCUGUUGGAAGGCUUUUCUGGAACCUCACCCCUCUGAGGGUUAGAAACCUUUUUCUAAUCUCCAGCCUGAAUUUGCUGAUGGCCAGUUUAUACCCAUUUGUUCUUGUGCCAACAUUGUUUUUUAGCUUAAAUAGCGCUUCUCUGUCUUUGGUAUUUACCCCCCAAUGAGAUAUGCACUUUAAUGAACCUAGUGAGAUAGGCUCGUUAUCUCCCUAUUUUACAGAUGGGGAAACUGAGGCAGACAGCGAUUAAGCAACAAGCCUAAAAUUAUACUGAGAGUCAGUGGCAGAAUGGGAAUAGAAUUUAGGAAUCUGGACCCCACGUCACCUGCUUCAACCCACUAGAUUAACCACACUCUCUUCCACAGCUGGGUAAGGAACCUAGGAAUGCAAUUCCCCAUCUCCUGCUCUAAUCACUAGAGAACAGCUUCGACCCCACCCCCAAAUAGAGCUACCUCAGAGACUGCCUGAUUUUUUGGCCUGGUUCCAUGUAGUUUGUCACUCCGUGACAUUUGCUCCUUGGCAGUGAAAUUGCGUGUCCUGUUUCUUUAACUGUGUAGCAGGAAGCCAUGCAACAGGGGAGUUGGGCAAGGUUGUAGGCAGAAGGGCUACAGUGAAGCAGCCAGAAAGCCAAGAAAACUUUAGAGAUAACCUGAUGGGCUGUUUAUUCUCCCAGGAAGUACUCCUCUCCCUGUUUGCAACAGCCUAGUCAUCUCCACUGCAAGUGACCACAAACUCCCAGCAUGGAGAAUCCUGAGCACAGGUUCCCUGGUGUAAACCUGUCCUAAGGGGGUGCAGUCCCACGGAGCUUGAGGGUUGUGAGUUGCCCUGUAUCACGCCAACACAAUGAGAGAAGCCCAGAGCCUCGCUCAAUGCUUGGAUAUGUAGAUGGUUCUGACGGUGCUGGUUCAAGUUUUGGGUCGAGAUUCAGCAGGUCACCAUGAGUGAUAUCACUCUGAUGAGGAUUUC